rnacentral:lncRNA from 1 species
CAGGGAAUUUAGUCCAUCACGGGCUACAGUGACAGCACUGGAGCUACACCCUCCACAGACUGCACCGAUCCAGACGCCCUGAACCACUUCUUUGCUUGCUUUGACAGGUGGAGCAGCGACCUGGGAGACACCCUUCAGCCUGCAGUGAUGGCGGGGGACACCCCCAUACGGCUGCACCAGAACCAGGUCAAGGCAAUCCUGUGGAGAGUCAAUACGAGAAAAGGCCCCGGUCCAGACGCCAUCUCAGGAAAAGAUCCUCAAGGACCGUGUGGAUCAGCUAGCGGAGGUUUUCACCACCAUCUUCAACCUCUCGCUCCAACAGUCCAAACAGCCACCAUCGUCCCAAUACCAAAGAAGAACACAGUGAUCUGUCUGAAUGACUUUCGCCCAGUUGCUCUCACACCCAUCAUCACAAAGCAUUUUGAGAAACGCAUCAUUUCUCACAUUAGAUCCGCCGUCCCUGUUGACCUGGACCAACACCAGUUUGCUUAUCAGGCAAACUGGUCAACAGAAGACGCUGUGAUCACAACUCUCCACACAGUCCUGACUCACCUGGACCAGAGGAACCCGUCUAUGAGGAUGCUGUUUAUACACCUCAGCUUGGCCUUUAAUACUGUUGUGCCCCAAAAGCUGGUCAACAAACUGAGCAACCUGGGCCUGGGCAGUUCACUGUGUGCAUGGAUACUGCAGCAUGUCAGGAUGGGGGGCCACACAUCCUCCACCCUCAUCCUGAACACGGGGACACCACAGGGAUGUGUCCUCAGCCCCCUCCUGUACUCCCUCUUCACCCACGACAGCAUCCCCGUCCACUCCACCAACACCAUCGUCAAGUUCGCCGAUGACGCCACCGUUGUGGGACUCAUCGCAGACAACGGCGAGACGGCCUCCAGGGAGGAGAUCCAGCUUCUGGUACGGUGGUGCCACAGUAAUAAUCUGAACCUGAACACCAGCAAAACCAAGGAACUGAUUGUGGAUUUCAGGAGGACCAAACGCUCGGAGCACCCGGCCC